rnacentral:rRNA from 1 species
AGGAUGAACGCUGGCGGCGUGCUUAACACAUGCAAGUCGAACGAUGAAGGCUGGAGCUUGCUCUGGCUGGAUUAGUGGCGAACGGGUGAGUAACACGUGAGUAACCUGCCCCAGACUCUGGGAUAAGCGCUGGAAACGGCGUCUAAUACCGGAUACGAGCUUCCACCGCAUGGUGAGGAGCUGGAAAGAAUUUCGGUCUGGGAUGGACUCGCGGCCUAUCAGUCUUGUUGUGAGGUAUGGCUCACAAGGCGACGACGGGUAGCCGGCUGGAGAGGGUCGACCGGCCACACGUGGACUGAGACACGGCCAGACUCCGUACGGGAGCAGCAGGUGGAAUAUUAGGCACAAGUGGCG